GUAGCAGAAUUGCCUUUUUUGCUAUGCUCUAAGCCUGGUUGCUGUGGGUUUUGAGGGGACUAUUUGGAUGCUGGUUCUAGGAAGCUCUGUUUGCUUCCUGCUUCUGUGCUUUUUUUUUCUUCCACAAAAGAAAAAAUUAAAUGGGCAGAAGACCUCUCAGGAAAUUAAACCAGAGAAGGGAAUGGGAGGAAAAGAAACAAAUACUGAUGAAACAGAACAAUAGGUCUGAGAUAACAUAAGGUCUUCAAGCAAAGGGGUAGCUUCCCCAGAGCAGGACUCAGUCCCGGUAACAACACCUCACUGCAACCCUUCUGUGCUUCAUGUGUCCUGCAUGGGAAGAGGCUGGUGUCCACCUGACUACUCAUUUCUGCAAGUAGCAAGCGGACUUUCAGGAGUAUUCUGGUAACAUGGAGCUUUAUAAGAUUGUUCCAAACACUGAACAAAUCCAGCCAGUUGUCAGCCCGAGUUUCUGUUACUCUGAUGCGUUACAUCUCUGACGACAACACUGCCUCCUGCUCUGCUCUUUUAGAUAUGUGAUGCUGAAACUUUAUUUUAAUAGGUGGAAAUAUGUGGGGGUUUCGUCUGGUGAUUUGUGUUUCCAGGUAUGCCCAAAAAUAAGAGGUCUUAAAUCUAAACUGCCUUCACAAUAUUGCUCAGUGAUGCGGGCAUGUUAAGGAGCUGUUGGUACAAGAAUAUCUUUCUCAUAUUAUGACACAAUCGCACAUGGAAUAACUCACACAUUUUUGCCUGUAAUGAAUUCCACAGAUGAACAGAAAUAGGCAAGAACUUGCCCCCGACUUACACCAAUUUUCCAAAUUUUCAUUUCAGCAGAACCCUGGUUUUACUAUUUCUGACUUUGCCUUACAUACAGCUAUUUACAGUCUUUACAGGUACUGUAUUUGCAUGGUACUUCACACUUGGUAUUUAUUUUAGGUGGAAUGACUAUUUCAGUUUAGAUCAAAAUACACUAUUUUGAUUAGAUGCUUUGUUGAGAUUAAGUUCUAUCUACUUCUUGCUGUGUUGAUUAAGAUAACAAUUGUGGUGUAUGUGUAAGUGUGGACGAACAUUGUCUCGGCCUCAGUGUACGUAACGGUAACUAAGAGGGAGAGAAGUUCAGGAAGAAUGACACCAGGUUUUCAAUCUAGAUGUUCUU